GCAGCAGUAGGGAAUCUUCCGCAAUGGACGAAAGUCUGACGGAGCAACGCCGCGUGAGUGAUGAAGGUUUUCGGAUCGUAAAGCUCUGUUGUUAGGGAAGAACAAGUGCAAGAGUAACUGCUUGCACCUUGACGGUACCUAACCAGAAAGCCACGGCUAACUACGUGCCAGCAGCCGCGGUAAUACGUAGGUGGCAAGCGUUGUCCGGAAUUAUUGGGCGUAAAGGGCUCGCAGGCGGUUUCUUAAGUCUGAUGUGAAAGCCCCCGGCUCAACCGGGGAGGGUCAUUGGAAACUGGGAAACUUGAGUGCAGAAGAGGAGAGUGGAAUUCCACGUGUAGCGGUGAAAUGCGUAGAGAUGUGGAGGAACACCAGUGGCGAAGGCGACUCUCUGGUCUGUAACUGACGCUGAGGAGCGAAAGCGUGGGGAGCGAACAGGAUUAGAUACCCUGGUAGUCCACGCCGUAAACGAUGAGUGCUAAGUGUUAGGGGGUUUCCGCCCCUUAGUGCUGCAGCUAACGCAUUAAGCACUCCGCCUGGGGAGUACGGUCGCAAGACUGAAACUCAAAGGAAUUGACGGGGGCCCGCACAAGCGGUGGAGCAUGUGGUUUAAUUCGAAGCAACGCGAAGAACCUUACCAGGUCUUGACAUCCUCUGACAACCCUAGAGAUAGGGCUUUCCCUUCGGGGACAGAGUGACAGGUGGUGCAUGGUUGUCGUCAGCUCGUGUCGUGAGAUGUUGGGUUAAGUCCCGCAACGAGCGCAACCCUUGAUCUUAGUUGCCAGCAUUCAGUUGGGCACUCUAAGGUGACUGCCGGUGACAAACC
rnacentral:rRNA from 1 species